CCUGACCUCAAGCGAUCCUCCCACAUUGGCCUCCCACAGUGCUAGAAUUACAAGCAUGAGCCACUGCACCUGGCCCCUGUAGAAAUUUUGAUACUGAUUUUUGCAGUGUUCCAAUUGUGAGUUUCAUGGGUGGCGGCUGGCCACUGGACUCACACCUCACCAAAGGACGUGCACUUUGGUCACCACCUAGUGUGCUUCUUCUGAAAUAACAUGAAAAAAGGAUAAACCAAUUUUCUUUAAAA